rnacentral:rRNA from 1 species
AUUGAACGCUGGCGGCAGGCCUAACACAUGCAAGUCGAACGGUAGCACAGAGAGCUUGCUCUCGGGUGACGAGUGGCGGACGGGUGAGUAACGUCUGGGAAACUGCCCGAUGGAGGGAGAUAACUACUGGAAACGGUAGCUAAUACCGCAUAACGUCGCAAGACCAAAGUGGGGGACCUUCGGGCCUCACACCAUCGGAUGUGCCCAGAUGGGAUUAGCUAGUAGGUGGGGUAAUGGCUCACCUAGGCGACAAUCCAUAGCUGGUCUGAGAGGAUGACCAGCCACACUGGAACUGAGACACGGUCCAGACUCCUACGGGAGGCAGCAGUGGGGAAUAUUGCACAAUGGGCGCAAGCCUGAUGCAGCCAUGCCGCGUGUAUGAAGAAGGCCUUCGGGUUGUAAAGUACUUUCAGCGGGGAGGAAGGCGGUGAAGUUAAUAGCUUCACCGAUUGACGUUACCCGCAGAAGAAGCACCGGCUAACCCUGUGCCAGCCGCCGCCGUAA